GUGACCUCUUUACCAAAUGAGCUAAAGGGACAAACAAUGCAUUGAUGUACUUAAGAGUUAUUCAAUAACUAUUAUAUAUAAUUUUAGGCAGAAAUUUUACAACUGCAUAACAGUUAAACUCUAUUUACAUCAUAUAAGUAGAUAAUGAGAUUUAAAAACUAAGAAGAGAUAAAGUAACUUUUUUAUGCAAAAUAGGAAAUAUGUGUGAAAUUGUUAAAUUUCUUUAUGUUAUGUUAAUCUUCCUUUCUAUAUUUCUUGUUACAACGAACGUAGAUGGUUAUCGAUGUCGAAAAGAUUACGAUUGUCUAAACAAGAAAUGCCGCAAGCCUCUUGAACCGAGUUGUAUAUACUUCCAUUGCACAUGUAUUGAAAUUCAUCUUCGUUUUUAGUCCUUAUAAAAAUUCAAGUUUUAAAUUAUGGAAAUUUAUGUUCGUUUAUAAGGACCAGAAACCAUUCUGGUUAUAAAUUAGAUAUCCACGUGAUUUUAUAUUUAAUGUCAUACGUAAUGGAGUACACGAAUUAUCAUUUA